UCAAACUUCAUUGCUUACAUAUUUGCGCCGGGUGUACUCGUGACUCCACUUGGGGCGUUAAGCAUAAUCGUAAGUUCAGUGUUGGCGCACUUUGUGCUCAAGGAGCGGCUUGAGAAGCUCGGGGUCCUUGGCUGUGUGUCGUGCAUAGUAGGUUCAGUUGUUGUUGUCAUGCAUGCUCCUAAAGAGCAUAUGCCUAACUCUGUCAAGGAAAUCUAGAACCUAGCUACUCAACCAGGGUUUCUAGCAUAUGUGGUGACAGCAUUGUUACUUGUGGGAGCGCUAGUGCUCUUCUUUGAACCUCGAUACGGUUAGACUAACAUCCUGAUAUAUCUGGGUAUCUGCUCUUCAAUGGGAU